rnacentral:rRNA from 1 species
UACGGAGGGUCCAAGCGUUAUCCGGAAUCAUUGGGUUUAAAGGGUCCGUAGGCGGUUUUGUAAGUCAGUGGUGAAAGCCCAUCGCUCAACGGUGGAACGGCCAUUGAUACUGCAAGACUUGAAUUAUUAGGAAGCAACUAGAAUAUGUAGUGUAGCGGUGAAAUGCGCAGAUAUCGGGAGGAACACCAAUUGCGAAGGCAGCUUGCUGGGACGGUACUGACGCUGAGGCGCGAAAGCGUGGGGAGCAAACAGG